GGAGAGAUGGCCGAGUUGGCUGAAGGCGCUCGCCUGCUAAGCGAGUGUGGGGGCACAAACUUCCACCGUGGGUUCGAAUCCCACUCUCUCCG
rnacentral:tRNA from 1 species